GACGAACGCUGGCGGCGUGCUUAACACAUGCAAGUCGAACGAUGAACCCGGAGCUUGCUCCGGUGGAUUAGUGGCGAACGGGUGAGUAACACGUGAGUAACCUGCCCUUGACUCUGGGAUAACUGCGGGAAACUGUAGCUAAUACCGGAUACGACCCUCGGCGGCAUCGCCAGGGGGUGGAAAGAAUUUCGGUCAAGGAUGGACUCGCGUCGCAUUAGCUAGUUGGUGAGGUAACGGCUCACCAAGGCAACGAUGCGUAGCCGACCUGAGAGGGUGAUCGGCCACACUGGGACUGAGACACGGCCCGGACUCCUACGGGAGGCAGCAGUGGGGAAUAUUGGACAAUGGGCGAAAGCCUGAUCCAGCCAUGCCGCGUGAGUGAUGAAGGCCUUAGGGUUGUAAAGCUCUUUCGCCAGGGAAGAUAAUGACGGUACCUGGAAAAGAAGCCUCGGCUAACUCCGUGCCAGCAGCCGCCGUAA
rnacentral:rRNA from 1 species